AGCAUAUCACGUAGCCAAAGAUGACUUGCCUGCAACCCAUGCAAAAAGGGCUUAUCUCUCUCUGUCUCUUAUUUUUUAUCUAGCUAAUUAAAUAAGUCCUUGAAAAUGGUCCAGGCAAAUCAUCCUUGGCUAUCAAAUAAAACUCU
rfam:Nicotiana attenuata strain TT scaffold03202, whole genome shotgun sequence.